ensembl:lncRNA
UGUAUGGAACUGAGGUGCUUCGUCAGGAGCUCCUUCAGUUGUUGGAGGAUGGAGAAGAGGACGCAGCCAUGACUUGUGAGACGUCGUCUGAGUCAGCUGCUACUCACUGGGCGAUCAGAAAUAUGGUGUCCUCGCAAAAGUGGAAAGAGGCCAGGCCUUGUCUUAUAGACAAUAUGUUAGCUACUCUGGAUCCACAGUCACACCGUGUGUGUCAGUGUGGCAAACAAGUAGUUGUGAGGUGUCUGGACUGCCUGCCUCUUCCAUUCCUUUGUGCUGACUGUGAUAUUGCAGUUCACACACGCUUUGUCCUGCACAACAGAGAGGCAGUAACAGGAGGGUUUUUGCAGCCUUCAUCAGAGUUUCACAAGCCAAUAGUUCGGCUGUUGCCUGUGCAAAGGCCAGACCAUGUGUGUGACUGCCCAGCAGGUAACGUUGAGGUUUCACCCGGCGCAAUUGUGGCUCUUGUAACCAUAAAUGUGGUGAGCUGCACCAGCUGUGGCCUAAUGUGGUCCCCCUCAGUUAAGGACAUCCUGGGUAGUGGAUAUUGGCCUGGCACCUUAAAUUUCUGCACCCUGUUUUCAAUGGAUGUCUUUCAGUCUUUCUAUGACAUUAAGAAGGCUGCACCAGGGAUGUCACUUAAGGCAUUUGUCAAAAUGCUGGAUGAACGAACAGCCCAUUUUGGAAGGAAUGGCCGAAUAUCAGCUGAUGCCUUCAGUAAAAGUUUCUUGGAGUGGAGUGCUGUAAAGUUUGAGGUGGACAGGAUGUGCAAGGAGCCAUGCUUUAGCUGCCCUGCCUGCACUCCAGACAUGCUUGCCGUCUCAGUUGAUGGAAACCGCAAGCUUUAUCGCUUUCAGUCUAAUGCAAGCACUUCAGAGCAGGGGAACUUUGAAGGUGUCUUCAUUGAAAAAGAUGAGGAAGUUGCUGAGUUUGUGAAAUACAUCCAGAGACACACAAAUCAUGUAAGAUACACAUAUAUAUAUUAGUGCUGUUAGCGUUAAUCUUGUUAAAAUGAUGUUAAUGCCGUAACCAUAUACACAUACGUGUGUGUGUGUGUGUGUGUGUGUGUGUGUGUGUGUGUGUGUAGACAUAUAUGGAUGGGUCGAUAUUUUUUUUAUUUUUCUCUUGGUGUUGUCGUAAUACUAUUUACUUUACUUUAUCUUAAUGUUUACUUAAUUUUGUCACCAUGUGUAUUUAAAAAAAACAACAUGAUUUUUAUUUUGUGUUAUCAGUGCUGUCCUGGGGAGAUCUGAGGUCUUGUGUGACUCGAGGCUAAUUCAGCUAAUUGUUAUGCAUUUGUUUUAAAAAGUUUGUCCCUGAUAGGGCUUAAUCAUGUCAUAUCUUUUAUGUUAAAAUCUUUGAGUGUAUAGGUCCCGGGGAAAGGGUUGUGCGGAUCUUCAUCUUGGACUGCAGCAAAGGAGUCGUCCAAAAAGUCCACUGGGAAGUUGGAUGAGGAGGGCAUGGAAAUAGCUGUUUGUCGCCACGGAGUCCUCUUAGCUGCAUUGAACAUGUUUCGAGGGGAGAUCUUUGCUUACCCCCUUUUUCUCCAGAGGAAGUUGGCAGCUAGCAUCCCAGGACAUAUUACGUUCCUUUGCUCCGAUGUGGCCUGUAAAUAUUUCCCCUAUUUAACCAAGGUGGCUCAGCAGUGCCCUGAGCUGAGGAACCUCUUGUCAAUGCGUCCUUUUCUCUCCGUCAUGCAUGCAAAGGCUCACACUUGGAAAUGCGAGAUCAAAUGGGGAGGUGCGUUUCAGGAUGGGGCCGGUUCAACAGUUGGAGAAGAGGUGGAACAAGUAAACAGUUUCCUGUCUAGGGCGGCCAUCACAACGAAGUACAUGUCUAAAGCAGGGCGAACAGACAUGCUGACCCUCCUGGCUUUGGGGUGGAACAAAAGGAAAGUGGAACAACUGGGCCGCACUUUGAGCCAGUGAUAUCUAAAGAUCAUAAGGAUCCUUAGAGAACAAGUGGAGAGCCUGAAUGCGACCAGAAAUGAGCUGGGUGUGGAUGACGACACACUGCAGCAAUGGGUGGCCGAUGUGCAGAAAUGGGCUGAAGAAAGUGAUCAAACUGAUGGCAGCCUUGGAGCGUUGCAGGCACGAAUAGAGGAGCUUGUCGUCAUCAUCAGAGUGCGAACACAAAGUCUUUACAGACAAAAUGAUAGCAACAAGAGGCGACACAGAAUUCGCAAGGUCAUCUUAGUUGAGAAGAAACGCUUGGCGGCUGCUGUUGACGACUACAACAAGCUCGCUGAACCAACAAAGCAAAUCGUAUCCAGUGAUGCCCUCAUGCAGACCGAUAUUUGGCCCUGGCAGAGCACAAGUGAACCUGCUGCUGACCUCCGGACAAAGAGAAAGGUCUUUGAGAAGGUGAUGGCUGUGAGGCGCCUGAGAGAGGAGGAGAUGAUCCUUUGCAGGGAGAUGCGGCAUCACUGGACAGUGUUGCGAAUGCGUUCUGUGGUGUUGGGGACAAUCUCCUCAGACUGUAAGCACUUUAUUUAUUUAUUAAUUUUUUGAUGAAUCGAUUGAAAAUAAGAGCAGAUGCUAAAGUCUUACUGGAUCUUUUACCUAUAUCUAGAUUGCUAGCUAACACUGCCUUCUCCCUUUUAAAAAAAUGUUUAAUUACAGCAUCCUAAUUCCUUGUGUUUAUGAGGUGAUUUUUUUUUGUUGUUUGUUUUUUUUACUUUUCUCAUAUUUAUUUGUUUUGUUCUUUUUACAGCCUCCUUUGUUGGCAUGUCGGAGGAUGCACAGAAGGGACUCUGUAGCCUGGUUUUAAAAAAACAAAGUGAACUGAAAGCUGAAAUGCUCAAAGUAAAGGACGUGUACAAGAGAAUCCUCAGCCACCAACCACUCCUGGAAAUGGACUCGGAGGAGGAGGAGGACAUUCCAGACGAUGCCACUGAGAGUGAUUUGAGCACUUCUGAUGAAGACUGAUUGUGUCAUCAUUGAUGUUAUGUUUGGUAAAAUAAAAAGUUAAUCACAUCUCUGUUCAAUGUGAUUUUUCAACAGACAUUUUACAUUUUGAGAAGAAAAAUGGAAUUUCCUUGGUGCAGUUGUUUACCCUGAAUCAUUAUUUCCCAUCUAAUUUAAUGACUAGUGUACAUGUUCAGAUACGAUAACAUAAUUUAAUUUAUGGGAUGCUUUCUGGGCUGCUCAAAUAAUCACAAAAUUUAAAAGCACCAGGCAGCACACUCACAAGUAAAUUUUUUGUUCAGUGUUUUGUCGAAGAAAUCAACAAGUACAACUGAGAUGUUUGCUGUAGUGGUGUGUUUGUUAAGAAGCAUGCCAGCACACUGGUGAACUGACAGUCCCAGAAUGCACCCGUGCCAUUGACUCGCCCCAGAGCAAAUGAAAUUGCUUAUCUAGAAAGACAACCGUCAUCAAAG